rnacentral:rRNA from 1 species
UUCGGAAUCUUGAGAGCGGCGCACGGGUGCGGAACACGUGUGCAACCUGCCUUUAUCUGGGGGAUAGCCUUUCGAAAGGAAGAUUAAUACCCCAUAAUAUAUUGAGUGGCAUCACUUGAUAUUGAAAACUCCGGUGGAUAGAGAUGGGCACGCGCAAGAUUAGAUAGUUGGUGAGGUAACGGCUCACCAAGUCAAUGAUCUUUAGGGGGCCUGAGAGGGUGAUCCCCCACACUGGUACUGAGACACGGACCAGACUCCUACGGGAGGCAGCAGUGAGGAAUAUUGGACAAUGGGUGAGAGCCUGAUCCAGCCAUCCCGCGUGAAGGACGACUGCCCUAUGGGUUGUAAACUUCUUUUAUACUGGGAUAAACCUACCCUCGUGAGGGUAGCUGAAGGUACAGUAUGAAUAAGCACCGGCUAACUCCGUGCCAGCAGCCGCGGUAAUACGGAGGGUGCAAGCGUUAUCCGGAUUUAUUGGGUUUAAAGGGUCCGUAGGCGGACUCGUAAGUCAGUGGUGAAAUCUCAUAGCUUAACUAUGAAACUGCCAUUGAUACUGCGGGUCUUGAGUAAAGUAGAAGUGGCUGGAAUAAGUAGUGUAGCGGUGAAAUGCAUAGAUAUUACUUAGAACACCAAUUGCGAAGGCAGGUCACUAUGUUUUAACUGACGCUGAUGGACGAAAGCGUGGGGAGCGAACAGGAUUAGAUACCCUGGUAGUCCACGCCGUAAACGAUGCUAACUCGUUUUUGGGUUUUCGGAUUCAGAGACUAAGCGAAAGUGAUAAGUUAGCCACCUGGGGAGUACGUUCGCAAGAAUGAAACUCAAAGGAAUUGACGGGGGCCCGCACAAGCGGUGGAUUAUGUGGUUUAAUUCGAUGAUACGCGAGGAACCUUACCAAGGCUUAAAUGGGAAUUGACAGGUUUAGAAAUAGAUCCUUCUUCGGACAAUUUUCAAGGUGCUGCAUGGUUGUCGUCAGCUCGUGCCGUGAGGUGUUAGGUUAAGUCCUGCAACGAGCGCAACCCCUGUCACUAGUUGCCAUCAUUCAGUUGGGGACUCUAGUGAGACUGCCUACGCAAGUAGAGAGGAAGGUGGGGAUGACGUCAAAUCAUCACGGCCCUUACGCCUUGGGCCACACACGUAAUACAAUGGCCGGUACAGAGGGCAGCUACUAUGCGAAUAGAUGCGAAUCUCGAAAGCCGGUCUCAGUUCGGAUUGGAGUCU